AUUGAACGCUGGCGGCAGGCCUAACACAUGCAAGUCGAGCGGAUGAAGGGAGCUUGCUCCUGGAUUCAGCGGCGGACGGGUGAGUAAUGCCUAGGAAUCUGCCUGGUAGUGGGGGAUAACGUCCGGAAACGGGCGCUAAUACCGCAUACGUCCUGAGGGAGAAAGUGGGGGAUCUUCGGACCUCACGCUAUCAGAUGAGACUAGGCCGGAUUAGCUAGUUGGUGGGGUAAAGGACUACCAAGGCGACGAUCCGUAACUGGUCUGAGAGGAUGAUCAGUCACACUGGAACUGAGACACGGUCCAGACUCCUACGGGAGGCAGCAGUGGGGAAUAUUGGACAAUGGGCGAAAGCCUGAUCCAGCCAUGCCGCGUGUGUGAAGAAGGUCCUCGGAUUGUAAAGCACUUUAAGUUGGGAGGAAGGGCAGUAAGUUAAUACCUUGCUGUUUUGACGUUACCAACAGAAUAAGCACCGGCUAACUUCGUG
rnacentral:rRNA from 1 species